GGAGAAGGUAGUACUAUUGCUAACUGCAUUAGCAUUACUGUACCACAAGUAAUGCUUUAUGUUAGCAUGUUAGCAUUACUGUACCACAAGUAAAUGCUUUAUGUUAGCAUUACUGUACCACAAGUAAUGCUUUAUGUUAGCAUGUUAGCAUUACUGUACCACAAGUAAAUGCUUUAUGUUAGCAUUACUGUACCACAAGUAAUAAUUUAUGUUAGCAUGUUAGCAUUACUGUACCACAAGUAAUAAUUUAUGUUAGCAUGUUAGCAUUACCGUACCACAAGUAAUGCUUUAUGUUAGCAUAUUAGCAUUACCAUAUCCCUGUACCACGGUUUCUUUUCAAGUGUU
rnacentral:lncRNA from 13 species